UGGGGAAGCGAUCUCCCCACGAGGCGACAGCCGAAGCGUCGC
rnacentral:ncRNA from 1 species